GUCCCUAUCGUCUAGCUUGGCCUAGGACACCAGCCUUUCACGCUGGCGACGCGGGUUCGAAUCCCGCUGGGGACGCCA
rnacentral:tRNA from 1 species